GGAGAAAUCUUUGCCAUGAAUGGUAUGAUUCCGAUACAGCAAUGACAGUCUUGUAUAAUGGCAGAGUAGAAAAACUUAAAAAAGCUCAGAAAGAUAUUAUAUACACUAUUUCUUACUGGACUAGAGAAGAAAAUGAUACUGAAGCAGUUGAUUAUUAUAUGAAAAAAUUCCAGCUAGUUGCUGACAUUGUAUCCGGUCAGAGGGGGAACCAUCUAUAACUAUCACAAAGCAUUGUGUGAUGUAUUUUGAGUUUUGGUUGUCAAAAAAAAGGGAGGGGGGGGAACACGCCCCCUCCCCCAUUUACACCCCUUGAAACAAGGGGUGCGCUGCUAGUGAUUUUGUAAAGUAGUAAAAUAUACUUUUUGAUUUGAAUACUAGAUUUCUUUUUAAUUAUAAAGAUAAAUAUUUAUAUAAA